GACGAACGCUGGCGGCGUGCUUAACACAUGCAAGUCGAACGGUGAAAGCGGAGCUUGCUCCGCUGGAUCAGUGGCGAACGGGUGAGUAACACGUGGGCAACCUGCCCCUCACUUCGGAAUAACUCCGGGAAACCGGGGCUAAUACCGGAUAUGACCUCCUUGGGCAUCCUUGGAGGUGGAAAGUUUUUCGGUGAGGGAUGGGCCCGCGGCCUAUCAGCUUGUUGGCGAGGUAGUGGCUCACCAAGGCGACGACGGGUAGCCGGCCUGAGAGGGCGACCGGCCACACUGGGACUGAGACACGGCCCAGACUCCUACGGGAGGCAGCAGUGGGGAAUAUUGCGCAAUGGGCGAAAGCCUGACGCAGCAACGCCGCGUGCGGGAUGACGGCCUUCGGGUUGUAGACCGCUUUCAGCAGGGAAGAAGCCGCGAGGUGACGGUACCUGCAGAAGAAGCACCGGCUAACUACGUGCCAGCCGCCGCCGUAA
rnacentral:rRNA from 1 species